AUUUUCUAGGGUUGUACCGUGGCACAUGGAGGUUCCCAGGCUAGGGGUCCAAUAGGAGCUGUAGCCACCAGUCUACACCAUAGCCACAGCAAUGCAGGAUCCAAGGUGUGUCUCUGAUCUACACCACAGCUCACAGCAAUGGCGGAUCAUUAACCCACAGAGUAAGGCCAGGGAUUGAAUCCACAACCUCGUGGUUCCUAGUUGGAUUUGUUAACCACCGAGCCGUGACGGGAACUCCUACUUUCUUUUACAAAGACAUCAAUAUUUAUGAUCUCACUGGUUUCACUAAUUCAACUAUCAUUUAGUGAACACCUACCUUGUGACAAGUUAUGCUAUAAGUACUGAAGAUAAAAAAUUAAAUAACACUCUGUCUUUUCCUCACACUAGAUGGUAGGUGCUCUCCUCAGAGCCUGCUGCAUCCCUCAGGGCCCCAGAGAUGCUGAUUUCUGAGUCCUCACUUCCUUAGGAGGGUAAUGUUCCCCUUGCCUUCCUUGCCUUUCAGGAUUAGAAGAUUGAGUUAUGGAGAUCUGAGUUCUGGUCUCUCUGGCAUCAGGCCAUUCUGAAAGGUCCUUUCCUUUCAGGCAGAAAACCGACAAAGUCAGGCACUUUGCUCUGAGGCUUUCAUUUGCGUUUCUAAGUUGAUUGCCUAAAACUGAGACCACUUUCCCUGUGGGGAGAGGGAUGGACUGGGCUUCUUAAAGUGUGUGUGUGUGUGUGUGCGCGCGCGCGCGCGCGCGUGUGUGUGUGUGAGUGUGGGUGGGGUAAUAGGACCCUGUGUCCUUCUUUGAUGUUGUCCCCUUAGGGAGCCCUUAUUAGAGCCUUCUCUAGCCUUCUUCUCUCUAGUCCCUUGUAACUAGCUUCACCUCUGUCACUUUCUCCUUUCACUCCACUGGCCUCCAAGGUGUUUAGCCAGCCAAGCUUGCUCCCUCCUUAUGGCCUUUAUGUUCUGUGUCCCUUCUGUGUGGGCCACUCUCCCCUGAGUCAUGAGGUUAACCUCUGACUUCCUUCAGGUCUUUACUCACCUUCUCUGUGAGGCCUUCCAUGGCCACUCUUUCAAAACUGUCAGCCUUUCAUCCCGAUGCUCUAUACAUUUCCCUGCUCUACUAUGUCUCCUGAGCACUCGCUAUUGUUUACUUAAUUUCUGCUAGAAACAGAGCGGAAUGGACAAUAAAAGACAGAUAAUCUCCAGGGGAACAUGGAUUUUUGUCUGUUUGUUUCUUUCUUUUUUUUCUUUUUACAGCUGCACCUGUGGCACAUGGAAAAUCCAGGGCUAGGGCCUGAACCAAAGCUGCAGCUGAGCCCUAUGCCACAGCCAUGGCAACAUCUAAAACCUGUGCUGCAGCUUAUGGCAGUGCUGGAUCUUUAACACAGUGAGUGAGGCUAGGGUUCAAACCUGCAUCCUUACAGAGACUGUGCUGGGUCCUUAACUCCCUGAGCCACAAUAGGAACUCCUGUCUGUUUUUUUCAUACUCUGUCUUAUAGAAUAGUUCUUUGUACAUGGUACAUUCUUUAGUAAGUAUUUGUUAAGUGAAUGAAUAAUGACAAAAUUCCCUAAGUCUCAGCUAGACAAAUAGGAAGUAUAAUCUCCUUCAUUUAAAUUGAUCAUAUGAUUUGGACAAUUGGAAUUUCAGUAGAAAUUCUUGACUUUAGAAUUGAAGACUCCCCUAAGCUUGUUGGCUAGUAUAGGGAAUCUUAGUAACAAAGGGCAUAAAGUCACAUAGUUUAUGAUAGUUUUAAUCAUAGUUUAUGAUUUUUUGAAGAUGAAGGAGAUGUGGCAUUUCUUGCAUCACAAUGUUUUGAGCAAAGUGUAGCCAGUUCACCUUGAGUGUGCACAAAAGCCAGCCUUGCCGCCUCCUGCUAGCUUUUGUCGGUGCAAGUAUGCCUGGCAGUUUGACUUGAGAAUGGCAUUAAGGACUUGCCAUGGUGCUGACAUGAGAAGUGAGAAAUGGCAAGUGCAUGGAACUAGCACAGGGAGCAAAGGGUCAGUGUUUCAAUACCAGCCAUGGCUUAGUUGAUAAGAUACUGCAAAUGAGUACUUCAUGUGUGUGUGUGAGUCUCUGUGUGUCACAUAAGAAGCAUAUAUUGUGUUAUGUGCACAAUGGCCAGUGAAUUUGAUGCCUCUGUUAUGGAUGCUAUUGGAUGUGUCAGAACUUCUUCCAUUCCCUUCUGUCUUGAGGUGUGUGGAAAUUUCUCCUGUGCCAUCCUUUACUUUGAUAAAGGAAUUGAAAAUAAGGUCUCCUCUCUUUGCUUUUGACUUCUCCAUUCAUAUAAUUGGUUUUCCUCCUUUGCUCAGUGCUCCCUAUGGUCACAUCAUAUUACAAAUUAUUAUAUAAUAAAAGUUGUUGCCUUGUAUUUUCUUUCCUACCUGUUUCCUACAGAACUUGGGAGAAAUAAAAGGAAUUGACCCAGGUUAAGAUGACAAAAAUAAUUAUCCCUCGUUUAAAAGAAGAAAAGUUUACAUUAAUAGACUAAUUCAAAUUUAUUUAAUUUUGCACAGAAUUAAAAAAAGCAUCUCACUGAAAAGUAACAUGAAAAAGAAUAUUAAAAUUCUUGAUAAGUUAAGGGGUUAGAAACUACCAUUUAUUGACUAUGUAUAGGGUACCAUCUAGAAAUUCAGUAACUGAGCUGAGAAAUUGAUGUUAUCCCAUUUUACAGGGAAAGAAACCAAGCUUCAGGGAUGUUAAUAAAUGCUAAGGACAUAUUAGUAGGAAGUGGGAGAGGCUGGAUUUGUAUUUAGAUGUGUCUGAUUCCAACUAAACUUUACUAUGCUGGUUUCCAACUGUCUUUAAAUUCAGAGUGUUCUUAAAAUUUCAGUACUGUACAUUCUAAAUUGAAAGCACUGUAUUUCAUUUCUAAGUAAGAUCAUCUUUUCCCUUUGCCAGAAAUAAUAUCUUUGAUUGCUCUAGCGCUUGGUUUGUAUGAAUUGCUUUCCUUGUUUUCUCAAUGCCAUGCAGGGAUUUAAAGUUCCUUGCUGUUAAAAACAGAGAUGAGUUACCUCAUUUUUGAAAUUCCUACACUGAGUUUCAAAAGCAAAAACAUGUCAUUAGGAGCUUAGGCUCAGAAUCUGAAUUUCAUCUUCUCUGCUUACUUACUGCAUAAUAGUGGCCACAUUCCUUAAUUAGGCUGUACCUCAAUAUCUCUAUCUGUAAAACAGAGGUAAUAUCAUCAAUAUAAAGAUUAAAAUAGUUAAUGUGUUAAUACAAUUAAAGUGCUUUUAAACAGAGCCUGACACACAAACAUCACCAAUAAAAUUUUUAUUUCUACCCAGGCAUGGCAAUCAUAAAGAGACAAUCAUUUUCAUUUUCUGGAACAUAGGAUAUUAGUUUCCUAAGGAUCCUUUCCUUCCAUGUCUUCCUGUUAACUAUCUGCUAGGGUUAUACCAGCUGCGCAUGGUGCUUUUUCACUCAAGAGGAAGACAUCUGAAAAUAGGCCUGUCUGUCUCUUUUAUUUUUAAAUUCAUACAUUUGUAAUGAAAAAAGCAAACUGAUCAUCAUUGGAGGAUCUUAGUGGACCAACUCAGUAUUUUGAAAAUUGGUCAGUACAGCAACAUACUAAAGGCCUAUCCUUCAUUUCCUGUGUGGACUGUCCUACUAGAUAAUCAAUAGUAGAAAAGGAAUUAUUUCUUUUCACAGAAGAGUGCAUGGAUCUAGGCAUUGGACAUCAAUACCCCUAAGAUCAAAGAGAGACAUAGAUAGAUAGACAGAUAGAUAGAUAUAUAGAUAGAUAGAUUAUGUGAUUCCAUUUAAUUGAACAUACCAUCAAUAAAGUAGUCUUAUUAAACACUAUAAUUUAUGGAGUUCCCAUUGUGGCUCAGCAAUAACGAACCUGAUUAGUAUCCGUGAGGACAUGGGUUCAGUCCCUAGCCUUGCUCAGUGGGUUAAGGAUCUGAUGCUGCUGUGAGCUGUGGUGUAGGUUGCAGACAUGGUUUAGUGUUGCUUAGGCUGUGGUGUAGGCAGGCAGCUUCAGCUCUGAAUUGACCACUAACGUGGGAACUUCCAU
rnacentral:lncRNA from 1 species